ensembl:snRNA U6 U6 spliceosomal RNA
GGGCUCACUCUAGCAGCACGUGUACUAAAACUGGAACAAUGCAGAGCUUAGCAUGGCCCCUGUGUGAGGAUGGCAUGAAAUUUGUGAAGCGGCUCAUAUUUUU